rnacentral:misc_RNA from 1 species
GAUGAAGAACGCAGCGAAAUGCGAUAAGUAGUGUGAAUUGCAGAAUUCAGUGAAUCAUCGAAUCUUUGAACGCACAUUGCGCCUCCUGGCAUUCCGGGAGGCAUGCCUGUUCGAGCGUCAUCAAACCCCAUCGUGCAAAUGAAUUAUUUUUUUUGCGCGGAAGUGACGAUUGAGCGAGAAUAACAAAUCCUCUCGCACCUCGUCGAAAUGAUUGCGGGCGGAAUUUGGGAUCGGGUUCCUCGGCGUAGUGUAUCAAUGCAUAUUUAUGCAACUUGCCGCGGAGUUGAGCCUGACCCACGCGUUCUCGCCGUACAAACACCUCAUUACUUUACAAGUUUUUGACCUCGGAUCAGGUAGGGAUACCCGCUGAACUUAAGCAUACAAUAAGCGGAGGA